rnacentral:rRNA from 1 species
CCCUUAGACGUUCUGGGCCGCACGCGCGCUACACUGACGAAGGCAACGAGCUUUCCUUUACCGAAAGGUACGGGUAAUCUUCUGAAACUUCGUCGUGCUGGGGAUAGAUCCUUGCAAUUUUUGAUCUUAAACGAGGAAUGCCUAGUAAGCGCAAGUCAUCAACUUGCGUUGAUUACGUCCCUGCCCUUUGUACACACCGCCCGUCGCUACUACCGAUUGAAUGGUUUAGUGAGGCCUUCGGAUCCGCGACUCGUUUGUGGAGAAGUUGGACAAACUCAGUCAUUUAGAGGAAGUAAAAGUCGUAACA